AUAUAUAUAUAUAUAUAUAUAUAUAUAUAUAUAUAUAUAUAUAUAUAUUGAUCAUGUAGUGAGAAGAAUCAUUAAUUGUUCAACAAAAUUAUUGUGGCAAUGACAAGAGCAGGAGUUUGCAUACCUACGAACAGCUCACCUUAUGUUGGGGUGUUAAGUGUCAUCAUAUAUUCAUCAUGUAAUGAGUUGUCAAUAAUAAUGUCAUUAUUGUGGCAGUGACAGCCAGGAUGCAGGAGUGUCUACCUACGUACAGCUCAAUGUAGAUUGGUGUUGUGUUGCAGAUCACCAGUGUUCAGGGCACAACUACUAAAGCAUAGUGUAGGAGCCAUGCUUGAUUUGAAAGUUGUCAUUAUGUUAAACAGUCAGAAACAUCAUAGGAAAACAUAUCGUUGUACCGAGUUACUGUACUGAUUGCAUAUGUUUUGUUGCAAUAGCAAGGGUGCCUCAUUUAUUUGAACAUCUAUUUAUAUUCAUUCCUCAGGAAAGUAGAAUGUGAAUAAAGGAUGAAGUUUCCAAACUUGUCAUAGAAGGUGUGAAAUAUUAAUGCUGUACUUUUGGUUAAAAGUGGGAGAGAUGGAAAUGUAGGAUACAUUUCCAUUUUUCUUGCCUGUCAUUCAAAGUGACUGAAAAUAGCAAAGACAGUGAACUGAGAACUCUUUCCUUGGCUUAAAAAAUACUUAACUACCCCGCUGUGGGUUUGGGAAGGGAUCAUUGUAUAAAGGACAGGUAAUGCUUUGAAUUAUUAUGUGAAAUGUCGGGGGCUGAGUGGCUUAAUGGGUUUGGUGCUCGGCUCGUGAUUAGGAGGUUGCGAAUUCAGUCCCAACUCAUGGUAGCUUCUUAGUUAGAGGGACAGCUCUGUACUGUAACCCUGACAGAGCUGCAUGGUUUUAGUUACCCAGCUCGGAAAGAUCCUAUAAUCACCUUUUUAUAAUCUAAAAUGUCCUCAACACUUGCUUCUUCAUCAUGUAAGUUUUGGAUGCUGGCAGCCCGAGGAAUGGAGAGCAAAUCAUUCGUGUCACAAUACAAUGUCUGUCUAAUUGAGCUUAAAAGAAGCAUGUUUAUGCAUUCUCUAAUGGUAUUUUUGUAUUCCAUCCAAGCUGUGUACUUAUUAAUAUGCGAAUGUUGGAAACUCAGUCAUCGUCAUAGUAUUUUUAUAUAUAGCUUUAAAUCUUUUAUUUUGGACAUGGCAUGUUUUAUCACUUAAUUUGGUUCAAUAGAUGUUAUGAGAAAUUUUGACAGGACUCUCGUAACUGAUCAUCAGGAAACAGGCAAUACUUGACCUAUAGUCGUCAAUAUGGUAAUUACAUCACAGUGUUGUAAUGAACCUAUGCAAGGAGCAAGGAUUGGUUUUAUUUUUACAAUUGUGAAGUCAUAAUGGUUUGUGCAACAUACGUACUUCCUAAUUUUCAGAUAUUAUUAUACUUCUUUUCAUAAUUUGCAAACGUCAGUCUAGUCAUUGAUGAGAGAUGUAGAAAUACUGAAAAGAAAAUGAUUUUACUUAGGAUGUUCUGAGCACUUAAUAAAGAGUAGAGUAAUAUUUAACUAUCAUAUUUAAAGUCCUUUGCUGUUAGGUGGGUGAUGGGAUCCAAAUGUUGAAAAAGAAAGUAGUCAUCGGAUUAAUUAUUAACUAUAAAAAAAAAGUUAGCUGUUCCGGAUAGACGGGUGUGCUAUGGAACAUUUGCUGUAGUGGUAAUCGUAAUAGAGGUUUGUAGUAACAAGAACACGAGCAGUAGCAGCAGAAGUAGUAAUAGUUGUACCACCAACUAUGGCUUCAAAUCCUCAUGGCUGAGCUACUUUUAUUCACAAUGUAUUUUUUAACACGGUUCCAGAAUUAGAAUAAUAUUUACUGAUGAUACUAAUGAGACAAAUAUCUCAUACCAGUGAGGUAAAUUGGUGAAUACCUCGGUGGUAGCACGUACCCACUUCUUUCAGUCUGUCCUAUUAAACAAUCAAUCAAUCAAUCAACUUUUCAAAGUUUAGUAACUUAAGAAGGUAAAUGUUGUUUCAAUAAGUAAUACACAUUUUUAGUACGCCAAAUUUAUUAUUUCAUGAUGCCAACACCGUCCAAUGUCAGCAGUGUACACCACGUCAAUUUAUCAAACCACUCGAGAAUAACUUGACCUCCUUCAAACUCAAAAGAGUACUUUAACGCCCACUAAGAUUGUUUUACGAGGGUAAAAACAAUAGUGUACAAGUAUAAUCGUGCACUUGUUUCGUACUCGUUCACUGCUUCGAACUAAACAUUCCGGCGCGCGCCGCGCAGUGCGGCGAGAAUUCGAGACCCCCCAGAGGGGCACAGACGUCCCGCGGCCCGCCAGUGGUGAACACACUGCUAGGGGCGGCUCUCCGGACACCUGCCUUCACUGUGAUAUAAGAAAAGGACCGCUUUAGAAAGGCUGCAUCCUCUUCUCGAAAGAUGAGCCGGUAUCACAAUCUAUCAAACCUCAUCCAUCCAUUUGUCCAGUCCAAGGCAACCAUCCACCCCUCACAAAAUCUCAUCCGCCCUGGAUGAAUGACACGGAGCUAGAACAUGCCUGGGCUCAUCAUCAGGUGCCUCACUGCAGCUGUUCAACCAUGCAACCUUCUCUCUGACCACCUGUCUCUCCACCAGCCCUCCUGUACCUGUAAAGCCUAACAACUGUUUCCCUCAUCACUGAUUAGGA